rnacentral:tRNA from 1 species
UCCCUGGUAGUCCAGUGAUUAAGACUCUACACUUCCAAUGUGGGUAGCACAGGUUUGAUUCCAGGUCAGGGAA